rnacentral:tRNA from 1 species
GGGCAAGUGGUGGAAUGGCUUACACGGCAGACUUAAAAUCUGCUGGCCGAAAGGCCAUGAGGGUUCGACUCCCUCCUUGCCCACCA